CUUGUGGACUGUCAAACAGAUGUUAGUAGUAUUAGAAAUAAUAUGAGGACAGACAGGUUGAAACAAGAA
rnacentral:ncRNA from 1 species